GACGAACCGUGCAAACGUUGCUCGGAAUCACUGGGCGUAAAGGGUGCGUAGGCGGGUCUUUAAGUCAGGGGUGAAAUCCUGGAGCUCAACUCCAGAACUGCCUUUGAUACUGAGGAUCUUGAGUUCGGGAGAGGUGAGUGGAACUGCGAGUGUAGAGGUGAAAUUCGUAGAUAUUCGCAAGAACACCAGUGGCGAAGGCGGCUCACUGGCCCGAUACUGACGCUGAGGCACGAAAGCGUGGGGAGCAAACAGG
rnacentral:rRNA from 1 species